AUGCGUGGCUACGCCGAUGAGCUAGCUGCCGCAGGCAAGGCGAUCCCCGACGACGAACUCGCCUCCUACAUCAUCCACGGGCUCGACGCCGACUAUCAGCCUCUGGUCUCCGCCCUCGACGCUCGCGUGGCAGGGGUAACCCUUGAUGAACUCUUUGCCAUGUUAUCCAAUUUCGAUCAGCGCAUGGCUCAAUUCCAGGGGGGCGGCGGCGGCUUCUUCAAAUCAUCCGCGAACGCGGCCACUCGCGGGCGGGGUGGCGGCUCUCGGUCGCGUGGCCCCUCUCGCAACAAGGGCAGGUCCAGCGGCGUUGGCAACCGUGGCGCUACGCCACCCCGAUCUGGUGGCCGAGGUCGUCGCAGACGCGGCGCUGGCGGCGGCGGCAGGAACCGCCCGGACACCCCUCGGUGCCAGAUCUGCGGCAAGGUCGGGCACACAGCAAAGGAUUGCUGGAACAGGUAUGAGGAGGACGACUACGACUCUCAAGAUGAAGAAAAAGUCGCUGCGGCGGCCGAGGGCUCAUAUGGCGUCGACACGAACUGGUACGUCGACAGUGCUGCUACCAACCACAUCACCAACGAGCUCGAAAAAGGAACCAUGAAGGAGAAGUAUCAUGGCAAGGAUCAAAUCCACACUGCCAGUGGAGAAGGUAUGAGUAUAAGUCACUUUGGUCACUCAAUAUUUCGUACCCCUCAUCGCAAUAUCCAUCUUAGAUUUUUUUUUGCAUGUUCCUAG
rnacentral:rRNA from 1 species